AAGACACUAGUGAAACUGAUUAUAACACUACCUUGUCAGGGUGGGGUUACGGGUUUAAGCCCCGUGUGUCUUA
rnacentral:tRNA from 1 species